rnacentral:rRNA from 1 species
UACGUAGGGGGCAAGCGUUGUCCGGAAUCAUUGGGCGUAAAGAGCGCGUAGGCGGCCAGAUAAGUCCGCUGUGAAAACUCGAGGCUCAACUUCGAGCUGUCGGUGGAAACUAUUUGGCUAGAGUCCGGAAGAGGAGAGUGGAAUUCCUGGUGUAGCGGUGAAAUGCGCAGAUAUCAGGAGGAACACCAAUUGCGAAGGCAGCUCGCUGGGACGUAACUGACGCUGAGACGCGAAAGCGUGGGGAGCAAACAGG